UACGGAGGGGGCAAGCGUUGUCCGGAAUCAUUGGGCGUAAAGAGCGUGUAGGCGGCUUGGCAAGUCUGGUGUGAAAUCUUGCGGCUCAACCGCAAGCGGUCACUGGAAACUGCCUCGCUAGAGUCCGGAAGAGGAGAGCGGAAUUCCUGGUGUAGCGGUGGAAUGCGCAGAUAUCAGGAAGAACACCCGUGGCGAAGGCGGCUCUCUGGGACGGUACUGACGCUGAGGCGCGAAAGCGUGGGGAGCGAACAGG
rnacentral:rRNA from 1 species